rnacentral:rRNA from 1 species
AUUGAACGCUGGCGGCAGGCCUAACACAUGCAAGUCGAACGAGUGGCGGACGGGUGAGUAAUGUCUGGGAAACUGCCUGAUGGAGGGGGAUAACUACCGGAAACGGUAGCUAAUACCGCAUACCUUCAGAUAUGCCCAUAUGGGAUUAGCUGGUUGGGGGGGUAACGGCGCACCAAGGCGACGAACCCGAGCUGGUCUGAGAGGAUGACCAGCCAAACGUGAACUGAGACACGGUCCAGACUCCUACGGGAGGCAGCAGUGGGGAAUAUUGCACAAUGGGCGAAAGCCUGAUGCAGCCAUGCCGCGUGUAUGAAGAAGGCCUUCGGGUUGUAAAGUACUUUAAGCGGGGAGGCGUUACCCGCAGAAGAAGCACCGGCUAACUCCGUGCCAGCCGCCGCGGUAAUUC